GGCGCGGUGGCUGAGUGGUAAAGCGCUUGACUUCCAAACCAGGGUCCGGGGUUCGAAUCCUGGUUUUCCA
rnacentral:tRNA from 1 species